rnacentral:rRNA from 1 species
UACGUAGGUGGCAAGCGUUGUCCGGAUUUAUUGGGCUUAAAGGGUGCGUAGGCGGCUUUGUAAGUCAGUGGUGAAAUAUGGCAGCUCAACUGUCAAGGUGCCAUUGAUACUGCGGAGCUUGAGUACAGAUGAGGUAGGCGGAAUUGACGGUGUAGCGGUGAAAUGCUUAGAUAUCGUCAAGAACACCGAUAGCGAAGGCAGCUUACUAGGCUGUAACUGACGCUGAGGCACGAAAGUGUGGGGAUCAAACAGG